UAAAUGUGCCACUACAAUUUUAACCUUAGAACCAGGUCAGGACCGGAAGGUAGCAUCCUUAAUGAGAACUGAAAUGUGUAGUGGUUUUUGUUUUAAA
rfam:Biomphalaria glabrata isolate BB02 unplaced genomic scaffold LGTN_random_Scaffold191, whole genome shotgun sequence.